ACGCUGGCGGCGUGCCUAAUACAUGCAAGUAGAACGCUGAAGAGAGGAGCUUGCUCUUCUUGGAUGAGUUGCGAACGGGUGAGUAACGCGUAGGUAACCUGCCUUGUAGCGGGGGAUAACUAUUGGAAACGAUAGCUAAUACCGCAUAACAAUGGAUGACACAUGUCAUUUAUUUGAAAGGGGCAAUUGCUCCACUACAAGAUGGACCUGCGUUGUAUUAGCUAGUAGGUGAGGUAACGGCUCACCUAGGCGACGAUACAUAGCCGACCUGAGAGGGUGAUCGGCCACACUGGGACUGAGACACGGCCCAGACUCCUACGGGAGGCAGCAGUAGGGAAUCUUCGGCAAUGGGGGCAACCCUGACCGAGCAACGCCGCGUGAGUGAAGAAGGUUUUCGGAUCGUAAAGCUCCGUUAUAAGUCAAGAACGAGUAUGAGAGUGGAAAGUUCACACUGUGACGGUAGCUUACCAGAAAGGGACGGCUAACUACGUGCCAGCAGCCGCGGUAAUACGUAGGUCCCGAGCGUUGUCCGGAUUUAUUGGGCGUAAAGCGAGCGCAGGCGGUUUGAUAAGUCUGAAGUUAAAGGCUGUGGCUUAACCAUAGUUCGCUUUGGAAACUGUUUAACUUGAGUGCAAGAGGGGAGAGUGGAAUUCCAUGUGUAGCGGUGAAAUGCGUAGAUAUAUGGAGGAACACCGGUGGCGAAAGCGGCUCUCUGGUCUGUAACUGACGCUGAGGCUCGAAAGCGUGGGGAGCGAACAGGAUUAGAUACCCUGGUAGUCCACGCCGUAAACGAUGAGUGCUAGGUGUUGGAUCCUUUCCGGGAUUCAGUGCCGCAGCUAACGCAUUAAGCACUCCGCCUGGGGAGUACGACCGCAAGGUUGAAACUCAAAGGAAUUGACGGGGGCCCGCA
rnacentral:rRNA from 1 species